UACGGAGGGUGCAAGCGUUGUCCGGAAUCACUGGGCGUAAAGGGCGCGUAGGCGGCUCAUGAAGGCUGUGGUGAAAGUCCGGGGCUCAACCUCGGAUCGGCCGUGGCGACUCGUGGGCUGGAGCACUGUAGAGGCGGGUGGGAAUUCCGGGUGUAGCGGUGGAAUGCGUAGAGAUCCGGAAGAACACCAGUGGCGAAGGCGGCCCGCUGGGCAGUGGCUGACGCUGAGGCGCGACAGCGUGGGGAGCAAACAG
rnacentral:rRNA from 1 species